AGCGAACGCUGGCGGCAGGCUUAACACAUGCAAGUCGAACGGAUCCUUCGGGAUUAGUGGCGGACGGGUGAGUAACACGUGGGAACGUGCCUUUUGGUUCGGAACAACACAGGGAAACUUGUGCUAAUACCGGAUGUGCCCUUCGGGGAAGGAUUAUCGCCAUUAGAGCGGCCCGCGUCUGAUUAGCUAGUUGGUGAGGUAAAGGACUCACCAAGGCUACGAUCAGUAGCUGGUCNGAGAGGAUGAUCAGCCACACUGGGACUGAGACACGGCCCAGACUCCUACGGGAGGCAGCAGUGGGGAAUCUUGCGCAAUGGGGGAAACCCGUGACGCAGCCAUGCCGCGUGAAUGAUGAAGGUCUUAGGAUUGUAAAUUCUUUCAGCGGGGACGAUAAUGACGGUACCCGCAGAAGAAGCUCCGGC
rnacentral:rRNA from 1 species